UACGAAGGUUGCAAGCGUUACUCGGAAUUACUAGGCGUAAAGGGCAGGUAGGUGGUUUGGUAAGUCUAUUGUGAAAGCUCCUGGCUUAACUGGGAGAGGUCAAUAGAUACUGCCGGACUUGAGUGUAGGAGAGGGUACUGGAAUUCCCGGUGUAGCGGUGAAAUGCGCAGAGAUCGGGAGGAACACCAAUGGCGAAAGCAGGUACCUGGACUAUUACUGACGCUAAGCUGCGAAAGCUAGGGGAGCAAACAGG
rnacentral:rRNA from 1 species